AACGUAGGUGGCGAGCGUUAUCCGGAUUUACUGGGCGUAAAGGGUGUGCAGGCGGGCUGUUAAGUGGUGUAUGAAAUAUCCCGGCUCAACCGGGAGAGGUUAUGCCAGACUGGCAGUCUAGAGAGCGAGAGAGGGACGUGGAAUUCCGGGUGUAGUGGUGAAAUGCGUAGAGAUCCGGAGGAACCCCAGAGGCGAAGGCGGCGUCCUGGCCCGACACUGACGCUCAUGUACGAAAGCGUGGGGAGCAAACAGG
rnacentral:rRNA from 1 species